rnacentral:rRNA from 1 species
AGAGUUUGAUCCUGGCUCAGGAUGAACGCUAGCGGCAGGCUUAAUACAUGCAAGUCGAGGGGCAGCGGGGGUAGCAAUACCUGCCGGCGACCGGCAAACGGGUGCGGAACACGUACACAACCUUCCUUUUGGUGGGGGAUAGCCCAGAGAAAUUUGGAUUAAUACCCCGUAGUAUAAUGACGAGGCAUCUUGUUAUUAUUAAAGAUUUAUUGCCAGGAGAUGGGUGUGCGUCUGAUUAGGUAGUUGGUUGAGGUAACGGCUCACCAAGCCUGCGAUCAGUAACUGGUGUGAGAGCACGACCAGUCACACGGGCACUGAGACACGGGCCCGACUCCUACGGGAGGCAGCAGUAAGGAAUAUUGGUCAAUGGACGCAAGUCUGAACCAGCCAUGCCGCGUGGAGGAUGAAGGUCCUCUGGAUUGUAAACUUCUUUUAUCUGGGAAGAAAUGCAUUUUUUCCAAAGUGUUUGACGGUACCAGAUGAAUAAGCACCGGCUAACUCCGUGCCAGCAGCCGCGGUAAUACGGAGGGUGCAAGCGUUAUCCGGAUUCACUGGGUUUAAAGGGUGCGUAGGUGGGCAGUUAAGUCAGUGGUGAAAUCUCCGGGCUUAACCCGGAAACUGCCAUUGAUACUAUCUGUCUUGAAUGUCGUGGAGGUAAGCGGAAUAUGUCUGUAGCGGUGAAAUGCUUAGAUAUGACAUAGAACACCAAUUGCGAAGGCAGCUUACUACACGGAUAUUGACACUGAGGCACGAAAGCGUGGGGAUCAAACAGGAUUAGAUACCCUAGUAGUCC